CCUACACACGGGGGUAUACUUGCCAUUUCACGAACCACCGUCUUCUCGCAAUUUCACAAACCUCUACCAUUGCCAAUGACUUCUCUAACCUAAAUCAAGCGUGCUGCUGCAACCAAGAACACGAAGUUGGUCUCAGCUGAUUUCUGUAAUCGGAAUCGCCGACGAUUCCGGUGAUGUCUGGCCUCGAUAUUGGUCUCAAAUGACUCAUCAUCACCCGAGGAUCCUUCUAGGCCCAUUGCAUCAGGGAAAGGGACGAAAAUCAUUCCACGCUUUCCAACAGUUCCUGACUCUGAUUGUGCACUGCCAACUCACGAACCAAGUGCUAUUUCAGCACUUGCAGGAGAUGAACCAAGCGAGAUGGGUCCUUUGGUCCGAAAGAGUUUCAGCAGCUAGGCAGUUACAACGGUCGUUGAGUACUUCCAUGUGCCUCCUUAUGCUGGGAUUUUGUUAGACUCGUAUCCCAGUUCAACGUUGUCGUACAAAAUGAAGGAGACAUCAUUAACGGAGUUAUGGAUUUUGGUGUCUUUAGUGAAACAAAACUGGAUCGUUUUAACUUUGUAUAGUUGCAAGCAUAAAAAAAAUCUCUGGGAUAGAGCCAUAGCUUUUGAAAAAGGGUCCUUAAGGAUGGCGUACCAACCUUCCCAAUUUUUUUCAUGUAAUAUAUGAAUGUAAAUAGCACUUCCUUAACACAUGGAUGUAAUAUAUGUAUAUAAAUACCACUCUGUGGCACAUAUAUUUUUCCAGACUUCUACGUAUUCAAUAAUGUUUUCAAACCCCACAACAACGUGGGGGUACC